AAUNAGAGGUCCCGCCUGCCCAGUGACUAAUACGUUUAACGGCCGCGGUAUUAUGACCGUGCAAAGGUAGCGCAAUCACUUGUCUUUUAAAUGGGGACCCGUAUGAAUGGCAUAACGAGGGCUAAACUGUCUCCUUUUCCCAGUCAAUGAAAUUGAUCCCCCCGUGCAGAAGCGGGGAUGCCCACAUAAGACGAGAAGACCCUAUGGAGCUUCAGACACAAAGACAGACUAUGUUCAACACCUUUAAAAAAGAAACAAAACCAAAUACCCCCUGCUCUUAUGUCUUUGGUUGGGGCGACCUCGGGGAGACAACAAACCCCCAAGCGGAACAGAGGCACUAGCCUCCCGAACUAAGAGCUCCUGCUCUAAGAAAUAAAACUUUUAACCUUACAGACCCGGCAACGCCGAUCAACGAACCGAGUUACCCUAGGGAUAACAGCGCAAUCCCCUUCCAGAGCCCCUAUCGCCAAGGGGGUUUACGACCUCGAUGUUGGAUCAGGAUAUCCUAAUGGCGCAGCCGUUAUUAAGGG
rnacentral:rRNA from 1 species